ACGAACGCUGGCGGCGCGCUUAACACAUGCCAGUCGAACGGAAAGGCCUGCUUUCCCUUGUGGAUUGCGGGUACUCGAGUGGCGAACGGGUGAGUAACACGUGAGUGAUCUGCCCCCAACUUGGGUAUAAGCCUGGGAAACUGGGUCUAAUUCCCGAUAGGACUGCAGGGUGGUGCCUGUGGUGGAAAACGAUUUUCUAGUGGUUGGGGAUGAGCUCGCGGCCUAUCAGCUUGUUGGUGGGGUAAUGGCCUACCAAGGCGGCGACGGGUAGCCGGCCUGAGAGGGUGGACGGCGACAUUGGGACUGAGAUACGGCCCGGACGCCUACGGGAGGCAGCAGUGGGGAAUAUUGCACAAUGGGCGGAAGCCUGAUGCAGCGACGCCGCGUGGAGGAUGACGGCCUUCGGGUUGUAAACUCCUUUCGACCGCGAGGAAGCCACCUGGUUGGAAGGGUGGUGACGGUAGUGGUAGAAGAAGCACCGGCUAACUACGUG
rnacentral:rRNA from 1 species